rnacentral:rRNA from 1 species
CACGUAGGGCGCAAGCGUUGUCCGGAAUUAUUGGGCGUAAAGAGCUCGUAGGCGGACUGUCACGUCUGCUGUGAAAAGCUGGGGCUUAACCCUGGCCUUGCAGUGGAUACGGGCAGACUAGAGGUAGGUAGGGGAGAAUGGAAUUCCCGGUGUAGCGGUGGAAUGCGCAGAUAUCAGGAGGAACACCGAUGGCGAAGGCAGAUCUCUGGGCCGUAACUGACGCUGAGGAGCGAAAGCAUGGGGAGCGAACAGG